rnacentral:rRNA from 1 species
UGGGGAAUUUUGGACAAUGGGGGAAACCCUGAUCCAGCCAUCCCGCGUGUGCGAUGAAGGCCUUCGGGUUGUAAAGCACUUUUGGCAGGAAAGAAACGUCGCGGGUUAAUACCCCGCGAAACUGACGGUACCUGCAGAAUAAGCACCGGCUAACUACGUGCCAGCAGCCGCGGUAAUACGUAGGGUGCAAGCGUUAAUCGGAAUUACUGGGCGUAAAGCGUGCGCAGGCGGUUCGGAAAGAAAGAUGUGAAAUCCCAGAGCUUAACUUUGGAACUGCAUUUUUUAAACUACCGGGCUAGAGUGUGUCAGAGGGAGGUGGAAUUCCGCGUGUAGCAGUGAAAUGCGUAGAUAUGCGGAGGAACACCGAUGGCGAAGGCAGCCUCCUGGGAUAACACUGACGCUCAUGCACGAAAGCGUGGGGAGCAAACAGGAUUAGAUACCCUGGUAGUCCACGCCCUAAACGAUGUCAACUAGCUGUUGGGGCCUUCGGGCCUUGGUAGCGCAGCUAACGCGUGAAGUUGACCGCCUGGGGAGUACGGUCGCAAGAUUAAAACUC